UUCCUCUGCAUUCAGGAAAGACUGCUGAAGGUACCUACAGAAUAGCCUGAGUUUGACAGAGAACUAGCAAUCUGGACUCUGGCACUCAUUUCUUCAGUGCUACAUCCUGUCCUUGGAAGAUGCCUCUGAUGAAGUACUGUAAUAAAACCUUGGAGAACCAUCAGGAGUCAGUGCUAACACAACUCCCACACUGAGUAAAGGUAUCUGGGUAACACCAAGAAUUCCAAGGAGAUGUUUCAGGCUUAGAGACUGUUGCGUGGGUUUUGCUCCGAGUAAGGACUAUGGAGUAGGAAUAAAUAAUUCGUACACUCUUUCAAGUAGCCUGGAAGAAUCUCAUAAUUAAUCAAUAUUUUACACCCAUCCUGAUCAGGAGCCACUGUCUGAUCUCACAAAUUUGUAACAGGCAGGCCUGAGGCUGAACCCACUCACAGACGGACAAAUCAGGAGCACUGCCAGCAAGAGGCACAGAAUUUCAUUAAUGAAGGAGUGAGUGACAGACUGUGUCCUGGAUGCAUCCUGUGAGCAGAGCAUGUGACCCAUAUUUGAGUCUUAUUCUGUAAUGGUAAAAGGCUUUUUGAAAUCCAUUUAAGUCUAUUAGCGCUCCCAGAAAAUUGUGCACUCACUCAUUUUCUCAAAAUAAAUAUCCUGGACUUAAUGGAGCAUAGUGUCCUUUUACUACCAGUACCCAAGAACUCCAAUUAUGCAUUAUUAAGCUAUUAAACUGAACUGAAUGAAAAGAACUGGCACUUACUGGCAAGAUCACUCUUCUAAAAUGCUCUGCAAUAAGCUAUGGAAAAAUUAGCAAGCAGUUAUAAAACUAGCAUCUCCUACCAGCUGCUAUCAUUUGGCUUUCUCUAACAGUAAGAACAUAUUUAUGAGCAUAUCUUAUGCAUGCACACAAAUACACAGAGGGACAUGCACAGAGGUCUACCUGUGCUGUCAUACACUGAGCCAACAGGAGAUUUCAGCCAGCCAGCUCACACUCCUAAGCAUGCUGUAGGCAGGUUCCUGCAGUGCUUCCCCCAUGAAGACAGCAUGUCCUCUAGAAGUCUAUGAAAUUCACACUAAAAUCAGAUCGCAUAUAGGGUUCUACUGACUUUAGGAUGUAACUUUUUAGGAUAAAAAACCUCCCUGAGUCCCCAAAGAGCUGACAGAGUAUUUCGAUAACAAACGAAUCAACACUGGCGCUUCUAUCUGUUGCAUGUAGAGAAU